rnacentral:rRNA from 1 species
UACGUAGGGUCCGAGCGUUGUCCGGAAUUAUUGGGCGUAAAAGAGCUCGUAGGCGGUUUGUCGCGUCUGCUGUGAAAUCCCGAGGCUCAACCUCGGGUCUGCAGUGGGUACGGGCAGGCUAGAGUGUGGUAGGGGAGACUGGAAUUCCUGGUGUAGCGGUGAAAUGCGCAGAUAUCGGGAGGAACACCAAUGGCGAAGGCAGCUCGCUGGGACGUUACUGACGCUGAGACGCGAAAGCGUGGGGAGCAAACAGG